AUCGAACGCUGGCGGCAUGCUUAACACAUGCAAGUCGCACGGGCAGCAAUGUCAGUGGCGGACGGGUGAGUAACGCGUAGGAACGUGUCCUGAGGUGGGGGACAACGCCGGGAAACUGGGGCUAAUACCGCAUAUGGGUUGAGGCCCAAGGCCGAGAGGCACCUUUGGAGCGGCCUGCGUCCGAUUAGGUAGUUGGUGGGGUAAAGGCCUACCAAGCCUGCGAUCGGUAGCUGGUCUGAGAGGACGACCAGCCACACUGGGGCUGAGACACGGCCCAGACUCCUACGGGAGGGAGCAGUGGGGAAUAUUGGACAAUGGCCGGAAGCAUGAACCAGUAAUGCCGCGUGGGUGAAGAAGGUGUUCGGAUAGUAAAGCACGUUCGUCGGGGACGAUGAUGACGGUACCCGUAGAAGAAGCCCCGGCUAACUUCGUG
rnacentral:rRNA from 1 species